GCCGCUUUGUCAGGUACGGCAGUUCGAGUCCCUUGGUUCACUGCUUUCCGGUGCGUAACGCUAUCCAUGCUGAAAAGGUAUUCGUGGUUCUACAAACGCGUCCUGUGGUGUGUGUAUGCGCUUCACUGAAGGUCUGUGUUGGAGACGCCGAGUAGACACCAGUCUCGCUCACGUUAACCGGAAGGCACGUAGAGGUAAAAUUUAAACUAGGGACUGCCUCUU